CUGGUUGAUCCUGCCAGUAGUCAUAUGCUUGUCUCAAAGAUUAAGCCAUGCAUGUCUAAGUAUAAACAACUUUAUACUGUAAAACUGCGAACGGCUCAUUAUAUCAGCAAUAAUUUAUUUGAUGGUUUCUUUCUACAUGGAUAACUGUAGUAAUUCUAGAGCUAAUACAUGCGUAAAGUCCCAACUCUCACGGGAAGGGAUGUAUUUAUUAGAUAAAAAACCAAUGCGGGUUCUGCUCGCCUUUGUGUUGAAUCAUAGUAACUUUUCGAACGGCAUUGCCUUGUGCUGGCCGUAGAUCAUUCAAAUUUCUGCCCUAUCAGCUUUCGACGGUUGUGUAGUGGACAACCGUGGCUUUGACGGGUAACGGGGAAUUAGGGUUCGAUUCCGGAGAGGGAGCCUGAGAAACGGCUACCACAUCCAAGGAAGGCAGCAGGCGCGCAAAUUACCCAAUCCUGACAGAGGUAGUGACAAAAAAUAACAAUACCUGCCUUUAUAGGUCGGGUAAUUGGAAUGAGUACAAUUUAAAUCCCUUAACGAGGAUCAAUUGGAGGACAAGUCUGGU
rnacentral:rRNA from 1 species